CCCAGCAGCCAUACCACCUGCAGUAAUCCAUCUGAAACUAAGCAGGUUUGGGCCUGACCAGUACUUGGAUGGGAGACCAACUAGGAAAACUGGGUUGGUGCUGGAA
rnacentral:rRNA from 1 species